rnacentral:rRNA from 1 species
AACACAUGCAAGUCGAGGGGCAGCAGGACGAUAGCUUGCUAUGUUGCUGGCGACCGGCGCACGGGUGAGUAACGCGUAUCCAACCGUUCCCCUUAGUAGAGGAUAGCCCGGCGAAAGUCGGAUUAAUACUCUAUGUUGUAUUUUGAGGACAUCUGACGAAUACCAAAGAUUUAUCGCUAAGGGAUGGGGAUGCGUCUGAUUAGCUUGUCGGCGGGGUAACGGCCCACCGAGGCGACGAUCAGUAGGGGUUCUGAGAGGAAGGUCCCCCACAUUGGUACUGAGACACGGACCAAACUCCUACGGGAGGCAGCAGUGAGGAAUAUUGGUCAAUGGGCGUAGGCCUGAGCCAGCCAAGUAGCGUGCAAGGACGACUGCCCUAUGGGUUGUAAACUGCUUUUAUGCGGGAAUAAAGUCAGGUACGGGUACCUGUUUGCAUGUACCGCAUGAAUAAGGACCGGCUAAUUCCGUGCCAGCAGCCGC